AGAGUUUGAUCAUGGCUCAGAGCGAACGCUGGCGGCAGGCUUAACACAUGCAAGUCGAGCGGGCGUAGCAAUACGUCAGCGGCAGACGGGUGAGUAACGCGUGGGAACGUACCUUUUGGUUCGGAACAACACAGGGAAACUUGUGCUAAUACCGGAUAAGCCCUUACGGGGAAAGAUUUAUCGCCGAAAGAUCGGCCCGCGUCUGAUUAGCUAGUUGGUGAGGUAACGGCUCACCAAGGCGACGAUCAGUAGCUGGUCUGAGAGGAUGAUCAGCCACAUUGGGACUGAGACACGGCCCAAACUCCUACGGGAGGCAGCAGUGGGGAAUAUUGGACAAUGGGCGCAAGCCUGAUCCAGCCAUGCCGCGUGAGUGAUGAAGGCCCUAGGGUUGUAAAGCUCUUUUGUGCGGGAAGAUAAUGACGGUACCGCAAGAAUAAGCCCCGGCUAACUUCGUG
rnacentral:rRNA from 1 species